ACAACUACUGCAGCUACAUUUUACUGAGUGUGUUUUCUGCAGCGGAUGCUGUGUCGAGUCCUUUCCAAAGCCACAUGACCACCCUAUGGCUCCAGUCUCUCACCAUUGACGGAGAACUUCUGCAUCCACCCUGACAACUCGAUCGUCACAGUAACUCUCUGAAGCGGACUGGGCAGUCCCGCGUUGCUAUGGCCCUGGUGUAGGCCAGUGGCUACAGCUCCAAUUCGACCUCUAGCCUGGGAACCUCCAUAUGCCUAAGGAGCAGCCCUAGAAAUGGCAAAAAGACAAAAAAAAAGAAGGAAAUUAAUAGAAGAUAAAUCAGAUUUCCACUUUCUCCGAAGCUACUCUCUUUAUUUUCCAUUAUAGAACGUUACUCAUUCUAUUUCUGUAGUUAGCUUUAUCAGUUCUUCCCAUGUCCUAUUCUUGGAAAAGUACCUUUUUUUUUAAUUUCAAAAGUAAUAUACAGUCACAGAAAAAAAUUAAUAUCGAUAAGCCCCCCAAAAGGAAGAGAAAAUUAAAAUCAUCUCUGAUUUCUCUAUCCCCAAAUAAUAUCAUUUAACACGUUGAUAUGCAUCCUUCCAGACACUGCCCCAGGCAUAAAACUAUCAUUGCUCCUAGAGUGAUUUACAAAUAUUUAGUUAUUUUAUGCCUAACGUCUUCUCUACCUCCUGCUCUUGAAGUUUAGGGACAUUUUCUUCGUUUGACAAUGUGGACUUAAUACGGGGACUCUGAACAUAUUUUAUUGCAUGAGGAUCUUGUUGAUAUCAUAAAAUCAGAGGAAGGAUAAUAUUUAUUAGAAAUAUCCAGGCACAGGGCUCAGAAACAAAUCGCUUGUGCCUGAGCAGCAUUCUGUGUGUUCGAAGUGGCCAUGUAAACACCAAGCCCGGUGGAAUCAUAUAUCAUUACUCCAUAAACAACAAUAACAAUCCUUGAUUUAUAUCUUCAUAUUUUCUGCCUUGUUCUUGCAGAAAAGUUGGUAAAGGCUGAUUAUACUGUUACACCUACUUUUUUUAGAAGAUAGAAGAUAGGAGAAAAUAUUACCACAGUGGAAGGAGGGGGGAACCCAGAGGAAAAUCCGUUUUUUAAAAAAUCUGGGACGUGUCAGCUUGAUACACAGCUCUGAAGAUGAGAGCAAAGCAAAACAAACGCAUGAGUUAUUUCUUGGAUCAAAAGUUUCAAUCAUCUUUGGGGCUCACUUCUUAGGUAUUUGGAUAUUUAUAAACGAUAAGUAAGAUGGCAAACUCAAAAAAAAAUCUGGAAUGUGAAGCUUUCAGGUGAAAUGGUCUUGAACCAUGUUUCAGGCUGCAGUCUUCAUCAAAAGAAUUUUUAUCAGUGUGGGGAGCAGAGCUUAACAUUAAGAUGAAGGUGUGUUUCUUUUUUAUGAGUAUAAUCCUGCUGCAUUGAUGUGAAGCAGAAAUGUGUGCAGAGAUUGCUACCAAACACAGCCCCCAGUUCUUCCAUUUCAACAGGGAGUCAUCUGCAGGAUUUUUUGGCCAUACAUAUGAUUAUUAUGAUGUGAUUACUUCUAAUAGAAUUUCUACACAAAAUGUGCUUGGUUAAUUUUGUAUUCUCAGGUUGUAGCAGUUUCAGAAUCCACCGAUUUGGAUUUUUUUUUUUUUUGGACAUUUUUGAGUACAGCAUAUCCAAGUUUUAUUUGGUUUUUAAAAGUGCUGCUGAUUGGAGUUCCCAUCGUUGCUGCAGCAGAAACAAAUCCGACUAGGAACCAUGAGGUUGUGGGUUCCAUCUCUGGCCUCAAUCAGUGGGUUAAGGAUCUGGUGUUGCCAUGAGCUGAGGUGUAGGUCGAAGACACGAAGACACGGAUCCUGCGUUGCUGUGGUGUAGGCCAGCAGUUGUAGCUCCGAUUUGACUGCUAGCCUGGGAACCUCCAUAUGCCAUGAGUGUGGCCCUAAAAAG
rnacentral:lncRNA from 1 species